rnacentral:lncRNA from 1 species
AGGAAGGAAGGAAGGAAGGAAGGAAGGAAGAAAGGGAGGGAGGGAGGAAGGAAGGAAGGAAGGAAGGAAGGAAGGAAGGAAGGAAGGAAGGAAGGAAAACAUUGUUUGUGUAAGUAAAUUGACUAGCUGGUGACCCAAAGUCCACAUGUUUAUUCAGUCUCAGCUCUGGGUGCAUCAUGUGACCCAUCUGCCCAGCCCCCACCUGCAAACCCUCUCUAUGUCUGCUUCUACACAACCCCAGAUCCACAAGUUGGUCCCUCACAGGGGAAUCCUCCAGGGGCACUUAGAAUCCUCCUUUCAAGAUUCUUGGUCACCACAUCUGUUUCCAGGUUAGUUCUCUUCUUGAGACAUGGUGGAAGUCAGAGGGUGUCUCCAAAGGUGAGGGUAAACACCCAGACUCUUGCCAGCUGCUCCCGCUGAGCCUUGGUAAACCAGAAGUAUCCACAUGAGUAGUGAGUGGGAGAAUUGAAGCCACAACCUAAGUUAUGGGGUCUUCCAGCCCUGUCUCUCUAGCUCCACUUAAAACAAAUAAAACAAAAAACAAAAUCCCUCUACUUAGAACCCUCUAGUUUCUGAACCAAGUUGUAGUCCGAGUUCAUCUCCAUCCAACAUUAUUCAAAGGAAACUUCUCUACCAAGGGCGCCCUAGGCUGUGCUGACACUAAGACACCUGAUAUUCUCAAACAGUGGUUACAUCUGUGCCCUCAGUCAUGCAGGACAAGGAUUAUGGCUGCCAUCUGCCCCUUCUAUGGACUACAGAACACAUUCUAAGCCAGGCUGCAACCUGGAUAGGACAGAUUUCUUGGCCAUGGCUUCUGUACCCUUUUCUGCACCAAUUCUUGUCUGCUGGUUUUGCAAUGUUCUGACUUGAAAACUGGCCUCACUCUGGAGGUCCCCACAUGGCCAACCCAGAGCCAGGUAUACUCUAGCUAUGCGAUGGAAGAGGAGGCAAGCUUCUAAACACUCCCAGGGCACAGAGAAACAGACAGGACAGUUGGCAGGUUCAAUAGAGCCAAGAACAGACAGACACUCUACAUGGACUCAAGCCUGGAGCCAUAAGCUCCCCCCACCACCUCACUACAAGGGGUGAUCACAGGCAUGUGGCCACUAUGUGUGCCUCGGGAGAUCAGGCAAGUUGAGAAAACAAAGCAGAACAAAGUUGUUCCACCCAAGUUGACCAGCCCAUGUCAGUUGGACAUGCAAGAUUAUAAUGCAAAGAUUUGAGAAACUGGGUCACAGCCAGCUUCCCUUUGGCCUGGUACACACAGACAAAAAUCUAGAUGUUUGAUUAUCAUUCCUCAGCAAAGCUGAUUCCUCUGCCCUGUUCUGCCCCCGCCCCCACCCCACCCUACCCCACCCCAGAAGCCUGCUGGGCUCUCCCGGCUUGAUGUGGUCUGAGAGGAGAAUCUACCUUGUGAUGACAUGUGGCACAAGGGUCAUUUUGGCAGCUCCCCAGUCUCAGCAGGUGAGAUGGGCACAGGGCAGGGAAACCAAUGCUGACAUAAACGUUUUCUGCAUUGGCCAGAGUGCAGCUGGGAGACUGUACAUCUAAAUGCCCAGCAGCGACCUCACACCAGGCUGGCCCAGGGAGCCAGAAGAAACAACCUGCCUUUCUAGAAAGUGACACAUCCAUUUAACUUCCCUGGCAAGCUGUUGCUGUGCCCAGAAAGAAAGGGAGGCUCAGCUGCCAGUGAAGCUAGUUAAGUCUUCUCUAGGCUUGCCCACUGCUCAGUAGCCAGGUACCAGGCUAGUACCCAGGAAGGGUCUCUUACAAUGCUUAGUUGCUGCUUGGACUAGCCAAACACUUGGGACAUGCCCAAUGAGAUCCCUGGGAUGUUCAAACUACCUCACCAACAGGAUUCAGACCCAGGUGCCUGGCCCCCUUGCUGGUUGUGAAAAUCGGUGGUUUUCCUGAAAUGCGCCCUCCUGUUCUAUUCCACAUGUGUGGGCUUCAGAAGGCAGCACCAAGAAGCCUUUCCAGAAUGGGGAAAGGAUUGAGGGCUGUUCGUCUUUGGGCCCUGGAGAAUUUCCUGGAGGAAAAUGUUCCAGCAAGUUCCAGGAACUGGGAAGUCCAGGGCUAGGGAGAAAUUCUGUGCCACCAGCCUCCAAAGGGACCUGGCUGAGAUGAAUUUGUGGCAAGGACUGUGGAAUAGUUGAAUAGUGGUCAAAUAAAUUGCUAAUAACUCACCACUGGACUCUCCAAGAGAGGCCUGUGCUCAUGUAACCAUGGCAACAGCAGACGCCAGCAACCUACUCAUUAGUGCCACCCAGUGAUAAGGCCUCCCCCUGGGCAAGACCCAGGGGCCAUCAAGUAGCAAAGUAGCAAAUGUAGCAAUAAGGGGCCUGGGACCCUGAGGUGGCAGGAUCCAAAUAACAGGGCCUCAGCCUUCCCCAAGCCUCAGACAGGGGGCAGAGACAGCUGCUAUCAGCUGUCUAGGGUUGGGGAGUCCUGCCCAUACCAAGGGUCCCUGUCCUAUAGCCUCUGACCAUUCACCGCAUGAUCACAGACACGUCGGAAUGGCCCCCUCGUAGUGCAUGUGGUUCUUGUUAGUUUAUUUUUCUGGAAUUUGGGGAACUGGACCCCAGGACCAAACAUGCUGGAAACAGUCUAAAAAUAAACAACUACUUGAACCC